rnacentral:rRNA from 1 species
GAUGAACGCUGGCGGCGUGCCUAAUACAUGCAAGUCGAGCGAACAGACGAGGAGCUUGCUCCUCUGACGUUAGCGGCGGACGGGUGAGUAACACGUGGAUAACCUACCUAUAAGACUGGGAUAACUUCGGGAAACCGGAGCUAAUACCGGAUAAUAUAUUGAACCGCAUGGUUCAAUAGUGAAAGACGGUUUUGCUGUCACUUAUAGAUGGAUCCGCGCCGCAUUAGCUAGUUGGUAAGGUAACGGCUUACCAAGGCAACGAUGCGUAGCCGACCUGAGAGGGUGGUCGGCCACACUGGAACUGAGACACGGUCAAGACUCCUACGGGAGGGAGCAGUAGGGAAUCUUCCGCAAUGGGCGAAAGCCUGACGGAGCAGCGCCGCGUGAGUGAUGAAGGUCUUCGGAUCGUAAAACUCUGUUAUUAGGGAAGAACAAAUGUGUAAGUAAAUAUGCACGUCUUGACGGUACCUGAUCAGAAAGCCACGGCUAACUACGUG